rnacentral:rRNA from 1 species
AUUGAACGCUGGCGGCAUGCCUUACACAUGCAAGUCGAACGGUAACGGGCCUUCGGGUGCCGACGAGUGGCGAACGGGUGAGUAAUGUAUCGGAACGUAUCUUUCAGCGGGGGAUAACGUAGCGAAAGUUACGCUAAUACCGCAUAUUCUGUGAGCAGGAAAGCAGGGGAUCGCAAGACCUUGCGCUGAUUGAGCGGCCGAUAUCAGAUUAGCUAGUUGGUGAGGUAAAGGCUCACCAAGGCGACGAUCUGUAGCGGGUCUGAGAGGAUGAUCCGCCACACUGGAACUGAGACACGGUCCAGACUCCUACGGGAGGCAGCAGAGGGGAAUUUUGGACAAUGGGGGCAACCCUGAUCCAGCCAUGCCGCGUGAGUGAAGAAGGCCUUCGGGUUGUAAAGCUCUUUCGGCCGGGAAGAAAUCGUAUCAGCUAAUACCUGGUGCGGAUGACGGUACCGGCAUAAGAAGCACCGGCUAACUACGUGCCAGCCGCCGCAGUAACAC